rnacentral:rRNA from 1 species
AUUGAACGCUGGCGGCAGGCCUAACACAUGCAAGUCGAGCGGAGCGGCGGACGGGUGAGUAAUGCCUAGGAAUCUGCCUGGGAGGGGGGGAUAACGCUCGGAAACGGGCGCUAAUACUGCAUACUAUCAGUUGCGCCUAGGUCGGAGUAGCUAGUUGGUGGGGUAAAGGCCUACCAAGGCGACGAUCCGUAACUGGUCUGAGAGGAUGAUCAGUCACACUGGAACUGAGACACGGUCCAGACUCCUACGGGAGGCAGCAGUGGGGAAUAUUGGACAAUGGGCGAAAGCCUGAUCCAGCCAUGCCGCGUGUAUGAAGAAGGGCUUCGGAUUGUAAAGCACUUUAAGUUGGGAGGCGUUACCAACAGAAUAAGCACCGGCUAACUUCGUGCCAGCCGCCGCGGUAAUCC